GUGCACCAGGCGCGAAUCAUUCACAAUGGGCGCAAGCCUGAUGAUGCCACGCCGCGUGCGGGGAUGAAGGCCCUUUGGGUUGUAAACCGCUGUCAAGGGAGGGGAACCGCGCGCAGUCAACAGCUGCGCGUCUGACUGCUCCCUAAAGGAAGCCCCGGCAAAACAUGUGCCAGCAGCCGCGGUAAUACAUGUGGGGCAGGCGUUGUUCGGAAUUACUGGGCAUAAAGGGUGCGUAGGCGGCAUGUCAAGUCACUGGUGAAAGUUUGCGGCCCAACCGUAAAAUUGCCGGCGAUACUGGCGUGCUUGAGUGCGUGAGGGGUUGGGGGAACGAGUGGUGUAGCGGUGAAAUGCGUAGAGAUCACUCGGAAGGCCAGAGCCGAAGGGGCCCAACUGGUACGCAACUGACGCUGAGGCACGAAAGCGUGGGGAGCAAACAGGAUUAGAUACCCGGGUAGU
rnacentral:rRNA from 1 species